UCUGGCCCGAGUGGAGAGGGGGUCCUGGCGAGGUGGCUCCAUAGCCCGUGGUGGUGGCUCCACCUUUGUGACCCCAGCGUGCUUCCGAGAAAUAUAAUUUCUGCUUCACCUAUCAAAUUUCAUAGCAUUCCCUCAUUUUCAAUUUCUCCAGGACCAGAGACUCCCCCUUCUGUUCUGGUGAUUCUGUGGAGCCACCUGCCGAUCCUUGGGAAUUACAGAAGCUUCAGACAAUGGUGACACACCAUCUGACACACUGUUCCCAGGUGGGAGGAGAAUGAUGUGGUGACAUGAUGCAGUGACAGGCAGGAAUUUCUGCUCUCUCACAUCAAGUUGCAAAGCCUCCGAACUU